UACGUAGGGGGCAAACGUUGCUCGGAAUCAUUGGGCGUAAAGCGCACGUAGGCGGCUAUGAAAGUUGGAUGUGAAAGCCCUGGGCUCAACCCAGGAAGUGCAUCCAAAACGUCAUAGCUUGAGUCUCGGAGGGGCCCAGAGAAUUCCCGGUGUAGAGGUGAAAUUCGUAGAUAUCGGGAGGAAUACCAGUGGCGAAGGCGCUGGGCUGGACGACGACUGACGCUGAGGUGCGAAAGCGUGGGGAGCAAACAGG
rnacentral:rRNA from 1 species